ACUGAAAACAGGAUACAUGCAUAAACUAGGGAUUAACAUACACUAUAGGCAAAAGCACAGUCUAUCUCAUUAAUAUACUGACUUACUAACUAUCUAUUACAUCACUUUACCUCUGUAACAUAUAUCUCUUCAAUUUACAUCAUGUCCACACUAAACUAUUACACAUGCAAUCCUUUAGCACCUCUGAUGUUUCUGCCCUUCCCAGCUACUCUGAACCUGCAAAACUGGGAUUAAGGGAAAGGGAUGAGCUUCUAAAGCCCAGCGAGUAGAAACACUGAAAACAGUUCAUUCAUACGCACUAUAUAUGAAAAUGCAUCACCAAACAAACAUCUCAAUAUAUCGUGGAUUAGACAUGACCCCAGAACUCCCUCGACGGGCUACUGAAGUCGCCUUGGUCUAAUCUCCACAAAGGUAGACAUGACCCCAAAAAUACCCUCUGUCAAUACUGGGCCCCCCAAAGGAGCUACACAGGGCAUACCAACAUGUAUUUGCCCAACUGACCUGACACGAUGACAGGAGCCGAAGCUUAGGCUAUUGGAGUCGCCUGGGUCCACCUAAUCUCUGCUCACAUAAUAUGCAAUGCUUCAUAUUCGUGAUUCUAAUGCAAUCACCCUAAUACAUAUCAUAGCAUUCAUGAUGCAUGAACUAUGCUAAAGCAUUAUGUUUCGUUAAUAAAAGAUUAAGUUUAGUUCUACUCACCUCUGCUCCUCAAGCAGAACCUG
rnacentral:lncRNA from 1 species